CAGUCGCCGCGGGAAUACGAAGGGUGCAAGCGUUACUCGGAAUUACUGGGCGUAAAGCGUGCGUAGGUGGUGGUUUAAGUCCGUUGUGAAAGCCCUGGGCUCAACCUGGGAAUCGCAGUGGAUGCUGGGUCACUAGAGUGUGGUAGAGGAUAGUGGAAUUUCCGGUGUAGCAGUGAAAUGCGUAGAGAUCGGAAGGAACAUCUGUGGCGAAGGCGACUAUCUGGGCCAACACUGACACUGAGGCACGAAAGCGUGGGGAGCAAACAGGAUUAGAUACCCGCGUAGUCCCUGUCUCUUAUAC
rnacentral:rRNA from 1 species